rnacentral:rRNA from 1 species
UGUGGUUAAAAAGCUCGUAGUUGGAUCUCAACAGCCUUGAAGCGGUUAACUUUGUAGUUUUACUGCUUUAUAGGCUGUGCUUUUGCUGGAGGUUUAGGGGUGCUCUUGAUCGAGUGUCUCUGGAUGCCAGCAGGUUUACUUUGAAAAAAUUAGAGUGCUCAAAGCAGGCUAAAAUGCCUGAAUAUUCGUGCAUGGAAUAAUAGAAUAGGAUGUCGAUCCUAUUUUGUUGGUUUUCGGGACUCGACAUAAUGAUAAAUAGGGACAGUCGGGGGCAUUUGUAUUCAAACGACAGAGGUGAAAUUCUUGGACCGUUUGAAGACAAACUACUGCGAAAGCAUUUGCCAAGAAUGUUUUCAUUAAUCAAGAACGAAAGUUAGAGGUUCGAAGGCGAUUAGAUACCGCCCUAGUUCUAACCAUAAACGAUGCCAGCUAGAGAUCUGCCUGCGUUUUUACUGUAGACUGGGCAGGAAGCUUCCGGGAAACCAAAGCAUUUGGGUUCCAGGGGAAGUAUGGUUGCAAAGCUGAAACUUAAAGGAAUUGACGGAAGGGCACCACCAGGAGUGGAGCCUGUGGCUUAAUUUGACUCAACACGGGAAAUCUCACCAGGCCCGGACACUGGAAGGAUUGACAGAUUGAUAGCUC